rnacentral:rRNA from 1 species
AAGUCUUUACGGAGAAAGCUUUAUGCACCAUUGGAUGAGCCUGCACUUGAUUAGUUUGUUGGUGGGGUAAUGGCCUACCAAGACUGUGAUCAAUAGCUGAUUUGAGAGGAUGAUCAGCCACAUUGGGACUGAGACACGGCCCAAACUCCUACGGGAGGCAGCAGUGGGGAAUCUUGCACAAUGGAGGAAACUCUGAUGCAGCGAUGCCGCGUGAGUGAAGAAGGCCCUUGGGUUGUAAAGCUCUUUCGUCGGGGAAGAAAAUGACUGUACCCGAAUAAGAAGGUCCGGCUA